rnacentral:rRNA from 1 species
AUUGAACGCUAGCGGGAUGCCUUACACAUGCAAGUCGAACGGAGUGGCGAACGGGUGAGUAAUGUAUCGGAACGUGCCCAGUAGCGGGGGAUAACUACGCGAAAGCGUAGCUAAUACCGCAUACUAUUGGAGCGGCCGAUAUCGGAUUAGCUAGUUGGUGGGGUAACGGCUCACCAAGGCGACGAUCCGUAGCUGGUUUGAGAGGACGACCAGCCACACUGGGACUGAGACACGGCCCAGACUCCUACGGGAGGCAGCAGUGGGGAAUGUUGUACAAUGGGGGAAAGCCUGAUGCAGUCAUGCCGCGUGUGUGAUGAAGGCCUUCGGGUUGUAAAGCACUUUCAGCAAGGAGGCGUUACUCGCAGAAGAAGCACCGGCUAACUACGUGCCAGCAGCCGCGGUAAUAC